rnacentral:rRNA from 1 species
CCUACGGGCGGCAGCAGUGGGGAAUAUUGGUCAAUGGGCGCAAGCCUGACCCAGCCACGCCGCGUGAAGGAAGAAGGCUUUCGGGUUGUAAACUUCUUUUCUCAGGGACGCAGCAAGUGACGGUACCUGAUGAAUAAGCCACCGUUAACUACGUGCCAACAGCCGCGGGAAUACGUAGGUGGCAAGCGUUAUCCGGAUUUACUGGGUGUAAAGGGCGUGUAGGCGGGACUGCAAGGCAGAUGUGAAAACCAUGGGAUUAACCUAUGGCCUGCAUUUGAAACUGUGGUUCUUGAGUACUGGAGAGGGAGACGGAAUUCGUAGUGUAGCGGUGAAAUGCGUAGAUAUUAGGAGGAACACCAGUGGCGAAGGCGGUCUGCUGGACAGCAACUGACGCUGAGGCGCGAAAGCGUGGGGAGCAAACAGGAGUAGAUACCCUGGUAGUC